CCUACGGGUGACAGCAGUGAGGAAUAUUGGUCAAUGGGAGAGAUCCUGAACCAGCCAAGUCGCGUGAGGGAAGACGGCCCUAUGGGUUGUAAACCUCUUUUGUCGGAGAACAAAACCCGGUACGUGUCCCGGACUGCGUGUAUCCCAAGAAACAGCCUCGGCUAACUCCGUGCAAGCAGCUGCGGUAAUCCGGAGGAUGCGAGCGUUAUCCGGAUUUAUUGGGUUAAACGGGUGCGUAGGCGGUCUGUUAAGUCAGCGGUAAAAUUGCGGGGCUCAACCCCGUCGAGCCGUUGAAACUGGCAGACUUGAGUGGGCGAGAAGUACGCGGAAUGCGCGGUGUAGCGGUGAAAUGCAUAGAUAUCGCGCAGAACUCCGAUUGCGAAGGCAGCGUACCGGAGCCAGACUGACGCUGAGGCACGAAAGCGUGGGGAUCGAACAGGAUUAGAUACCCCAGUAGUC
rnacentral:rRNA from 1 species